rnacentral:misc_RNA from 1 species
UAGCUGGUUGUCAAACGGG